rnacentral:rRNA from 1 species
GAUGAACGCUGGCGGCGUUCCUAAUACAUGCAAGUCGAGCGAACGGACUAGAAGCUUGCUUUUCUGUUGUUAGCGGCGGACGGGUGAGUAACACGUGGAUAACCUACCUAUAAGACUGGGUUAACUUCGGGAAACCGGAGCUAAUACCGGAUUAUAUUUUGAACCGCAUGGUUCAAGAGAGAAAGACUGUCUUGCUGUCACUUAUAGAUGUACCCGCGCUGCAUUAGCUAGUUGGUAAGGUAACGGCUUACCAAGGCAACGAUGCAUAGCCGACAUGAGAGGUUGAUCGGCGCCACUGGAGCUGAGACACGCUCCAGAUUCCUACGGGAGGCAGCAGUAGGGAAGCUUCCGGAAUGAGCGCAUGCCUGACGGAGCAAAGAGCUGUGAGUGGUGGUGGUGUUCCGAUCGGAAAACUCUGUUAAUAGGGAAGACCAUAAGUGUAAGUAAAAGUGCACCACUUGACGGAACCUAACCAGAGAGGCACGGCUCACCACGUG